GCGGCCGUAGUCUAGCCUGGUCUAGGACAUUGGCCUUCCAAGCCAACGACCCGGGUCCGAAUCCCGGCGGCCGCACCA
rnacentral:tRNA from 1 species